UUCCGGUUGAUCCCGCCGGACCCGACCGGUAUCGGGGUGGGGCUAAGCCAUGCAAGUCGUACGUCCUCCAGCCACGUGGGGGACGUGGCGCACGGCUCAGUAGUACGCAGCUAACCUACCCUAAGGAGGGGGAUAAUCCCGGGAAACUGGGGCUAAUCCCACAUAGACCUGGGGCACUGGAAGGUCCCUAGGUCGAAAUGGGUGGACUGGCAUGCCGGUUCACCUGCCUUAGGAUGGGGCUGCGUCCGAUCAGGUAGUUGGUGGGGUAAUGGCCCACCAAGCCUAUGACCGGUGCGGGCUCUGAGAGGAGGAGCCCGGAGAUGGACCCUGAGACAAGGGUCCAAGCCCUACGGGGCGCAGCAGGCGCGAAACCUUCGCAAUGCCCGAAAGGGUGACGAGGCUACCCCGAGUACCGUCCGCUAAGGACGGCUUUUGUCGGGUCUAAAAAGCCCGACGAAUAAGGGGAGGGCAAGUCUGGUGUCAGCCGCCGCGGUAAAACCAGC
rnacentral:rRNA from 1 species